rnacentral:misc_RNA from 1 species
UCUCCGUUGGUGAACCAGCGGAGGGAUCAUUACAGGACUCGCAAGACUCCUACAACCCUGUGAACUUCACUACAAGCACGUUGCUUCGGCGGGUGUCUCGGCGGAGGUCCCUUCCGGGGGACCUGCGCAGGGGCGCGAAGCCCGCCGGCAGCCUACUAUACUCUGUCUCUUUGCGUUGGCAUCUCGAGAAAAAGCAAACAAGUUAAAACUUUCAACAACGGAUCUCUUGGUUCUG